UGGGAAAAGGUAUCUGCAGCCUCUCAAAUGGCCCUCAUCGCCACCAAGUGUAGACCUGCCCAUGUGACCUGCCCAUGACAACCCCGUAGGGGACAGCUGGCUCUGGCCGGACAGUCUCUGCGCUCAGAUCAGGGAGGGGGCAGGCGAAUGACCGGAGCAAUUCCCCGCAGGCCUAUUCCAGAGCGGCAAGUGUGAAAAUGCAGCCUUCACGGUGGAUUACCGGCCUCCAGGAAUCUGUCACCUCCAGGCCUGGGGAAGAGGGGGAGGGCGAAUUCUGUUUCUUCACGGGAGAAUUCCUUUCCAUGUCCAGCCUGUGGCCCGAGCAACA